UACGGAGGGUGCGAGCGUUGCCCGGAAUUACUGGGCGUAAAGCGUGCGUAGGUGGUUUGUUAAGUCUGUUGUGAAAGCCCCGGGCUCAACCUGGGAAUGGCAAUGGAUACUGGCAAGCUAGAGUGCGGUAGAGGGUAGUGGAAUUCCCGGUGUAGCGGUGAAAUGCGUAGAGAUCGGGAGGAACACCAGUGGCGAAGGCGGCUACCUGGACCAGCACUGACACUGAGGCACGAAAGCGUGGGGAGCAAACAGG
rnacentral:rRNA from 1 species